UUUAUUUUGUGAAACUAAAAAUUUUUCACUUGUGAAGAUAUGGUCUCAUAUCACCUGAAUUAUAUGACAAAGCAUAAUAUAUAAUUGGUCCUUAUGCUAUUUAAUUUUUGUUUAAAUUGGUCCUUCAAAUAUAUUUUUAUUUAGAUUACCUAUGUACUUUCUCAAAUGAUUCAAAUAUACAACAACCACAUAUUAAUACUAUUUUAGAAGUAUUAUAAUCUUAUGCAAAUUACUCCUAUGCUAUUUCUCCUUGGUAGUUUCUAGUAAUUGGGAAUAUGUCGCUAGAGAAACUCUCUCUCUUCAGUUCUCUUUUACUUGGUCAAUCCUCUCCCUCUCACGAAGUUUAAGCUUUUAUUUUCACUUAUAGAAAAUAUCUUAACAAAUUCUUUCCUCUUCUACACUUGUUGAUCCAAUCACUCUCAUAUAGUUUUAACUUUAAUUCUCACUUCACAAAAAAGAUAUUAAGAAAAAAAUUAUCAUAUAAAAUACACAAUCCUAAGAUAAUUCUUCAAUUUCAAGAACCAUUUCUUUGAACUUUUGUUUGGGGGAACCUGUAAUUACAAAAUAUACCACAUAUGAGGAGCAACUACUUACAUACUCUUUGGAGAAAAUAAUGUCAAAAUAAAAGAAGGUAGAUUAGUAGGAGCUUCUAAAAUCAAUUAGAUUAUGUCGAAACUGAAGAAGAUUAUAUUGGAACCGGAAAAAAGGAGAGGUUUUCUCUCCUUGCAAUUAGGACUCAAAUUAGAAAGAUGAAGAGGUACAUGGUUUGUUGCUUUCUUUAAUCCCCUGAGUUCAAGUGCACUCUCAAGAUCACUCAUGAAAGAUUUAAUUUUUAUUUUCAAAAUAAAAAAUCUGAAAAUGCUUUAACAACUAAAAUUAAUCAAAAAAAAAUAUUCAAGAAUUUAUUAGAGUCAAUAACUAUGAUGACUUAAUAACCAAGAGUAGAUAGGAAAACGAAACAGCUAGUGGAAAAUGAAAACAAUUGAAAAUAUUAUUUUUAUAAUUUCAUGGAAUAAAAUAUUAUUUUUAUAAUUUCAUGGAAACUUACAUGAUUUCUGUGUGGUUCAUAAUCUACUAUCUAGAAUGAUUCUUCGUUUUCGUCAAAAUUUUUAGAGGAAUUCAACCCAAACUCGUUACUUAUUGUAUGCUCAUAUAAACCAAAUGAAAUUGAAAAGGUUUUCGUAGACAUUUACAAUCAAUCAAUAGAGAAACUUCAAACAUGGAAAGGGAAACAACUUCA
rnacentral:lncRNA from 1 species